AUACGGAGGGUGCAAGCGUUGUUCGGAAUCACUGGGCGUAAAGGGCGCGCAGGCGGUUUGGUAAGUCAGAUGUGAAAGCCCACGGCUCAGCCGUGGAAGUGCAUUUGAAACUGUCAGACUUGAGUACUAGAGGGGAAAGUGGAAUUCCCGGUGUAGAGGUGAAAUUCGUAGAUAUCGGGAGGAAUACCGGUGGCGAAGGCGACUUUCUGGCUAGAUACUGACGCUGAGGCGCGAAAGCGUGGGGAGCAAACAGGAUUAGAAACCCUAGUAGUCC
rnacentral:rRNA from 1 species